rnacentral:lncRNA from 1 species
AUGGACAUACGUGCGCAGUUUUUCAGUUCAUCAAUAGUAGUUCUAAGUGUUUUACUAUGUAAAAUUAAAUCCUUAACAUCGUUUCUUAGUUUAUCAUUUUCGUUUUUUAGUUUAUCAUUUUCGUUUUUUAGUUUAUCAUUUUCGUUUUUUAGUUUAUCAUUUUCGUUUUUAAAUUUGUCAUUCUCGUUUUUCAGUUUGUCAUUCUCGUUUUUCAGUUUGUCAUUCUCGUUUUUUAGUUUGUCAUUCUCGUUUUUUAGUUUGUCUUUAUCAUUUUUUAGUUUGUCAUUCUCGUUUUUCAGUUUGUCAUUCUCGUUUUUUAGUUUGUCUUUAUCAUUUUUUAAUAUAUAAUUUUCACUACUUAACUUCCCAUUUUCGCUACUUAACUUUCCAUUUUCGUUUUUUAGUUUAUCAUUUUCGUUUUUAAAUUUGUCAUUCUCGUUUUUCAGUUUGUCAUUCUCGUUUUUUAGUUUGUCUUUAUCAUUUUUUAAUAUAUAAUUUUCACUAUUUAACUUCCCAUUUUCACUACUUAACUUCCCAUUUUNNNNNNNNNNCACUAUUUAACUUCCCAUUUUCACUACUUAACUUCCCAUUUUCACUACUUAACUUGCCAUUCUCGUUUUUUAGUUUAUCAUUUUCGUUUUUUAGCUUCUCGUUAUCGCCAUUCAACCGGUUAUUAUAAUUUUUUAAUUCGUCAUUAGUUUGUUUUAAAUUAGUAGUUUCAUUCUCUAAAGUACUAAUAUUUUUUUGAAGUUUAUCCACUACACUUUUAAAAUUAUAACGUUCUGUUUCUGAAAUUUCUUUUUCCUUUCUUAAAUUAUUAUUGUCAUUGCUAAGUCGAUUAAUCUCAUUACUUAAAUGUACUAACAGCGUAUUAAUUUCGUUUUUAUUUAAUCCUUCUAUUUCUUCCAGACGUAAAGCACUAAUGCUUGUUUUUUGUGUAUCGUCUGACAUUUGUUUUAGUUUAAUAUCAAUUGUUUUGUGUAUUUUUUGUAUUUCUUCUACAUUUUCACUGUUUGAUGAAGGUAAAACAUUUAAAUGUGUAUGAUUAUCUUUUAUAUACAAAUCGUUUUUUUUUGUACUCGCAUG